AGUGGCUAUCUAAUUCGACCCCUGUGAGGGAGGUGGCUCCAUGAUUCACAUUGUGGAUCAUGUUGAUUUAGAUGCUUGGAGUGUGCCUGAGGUCCUUAGACCACUUUAUGAAUCCCCGAAGAUUCUUGCACAGAAAACAACUAUUGCUGCACUGCGUCACAUUAGGCAAAUUGUGCAUGAAUCGAGUGGGGAAAUGCCCUAUGGAGGGGGCUGACAGCCAGCAGUUUUGAGAACAUUUAGCCAGAGGCUUAGCAGGGGUUUCAAUGAUGC